UGGGGCAUGGUGUAAUGGUAGCACAUUGGAGUUUGGUUCCAGGAGUCCAGGUUCGAGUCCUGGUGCCCCAG
rnacentral:tRNA from 1 species